CCCUAUUUGGACGGGACUAGUUUUACAGGGGGUCGUUAGAGAAAUCUGUGUUUCACAGACGUACUUGGUGAUAUUAAUCCCGUCCGAAUCUGCCACGUCUGUGUUUUUCUCACAAAACCUCUGUGAUAAUUCCAGAGCAAAUUACCUACUGUUUUUCAGCAUACUCAGUGAUCCUCUGAGAAAACUAAUCCUGUCCGAAUGUGAAUGUCUGUGAUUGCCGGUGAUAUUUUAUUUCACAACGCCUUUCCUUGUGUGUUUUGGCAAACGUGAAUUACCGUAGAUGCUCUUACCGCGCGCAUGUUUGAUAUAUUUGCUUACCGGCAAAGAAAUAAUAAUAAAAAAAUAAUACAAAUAAUAAAAUCAAGAGCAAGAUCACGUAAACUGUUAAUACCGGCUAUUGUAAUAUCAGCAUAAGGUAAGAUUACUCACGUUCAUUUAUGUACUCAGUUACAUAAUGUUUAAAUUAAACAUACGGUAGAAAAAAAAGGAAAACAAGUUAAACUAAAGGAACCACACAUUAACAUGGUUUUGUUAUACUAGCCAUUUAUUAUUUAUUGUGUAAUAAUACUAAUGGCAAUCAUUCUGAAUAAAUGCAAUGCACGCAUACAGAGCGCGUGAUCUCUGUGACGCCCAGAUUCACAAAUCAGACCCUCCCACCUCUGUAAUAAACACGGAGAUGUUAGUCCCGUCCGAAUUGGUACAUGAAAAUCGCAGACGUCCGGUGGUAAGAAUCGAAACUCAAACGUAGUUUAGAAAACUAGUCCCGUCUGAAUAGGGCUAAUGA